rnacentral:lncRNA from 1 species
UAGUUGUCGGUGCUUGCGAGGACUCGGCCGGAGAAAGCGUGAGUUGUUCGGUCGACGUAGAGGCUGCUCACGGCUCCGGUCUGCGGCGGCGCAACUCCGUUCAGAGCAGCACACAGCAGUAGAAUUAGGAAACCCAGUUCGGUGAGCUUCACUAAUUCAGGGAGAUUACCAAACAAGGCUCACCUGGGUAACAAACUUCUCGAGAUACUCUGGCCACAGCGAGGUGGAAGGAUGAUUGCUGUGGUCACCAGACAAUGGAGUGGCACUUGAUGAACUGAACAAAGCUGACUUGGAGGCUAGGGAGACGAGCUCAGGCCUGCACACACUACCACAGAGAUGCCCAAGGAACCAG